rnacentral:lncRNA from 1 species
AGUCUCCCAGUCCUCACUCCCUCCCAGGAGACAGAGGCUGUGACCCAGGAGCCCCUGGCGGAGUUUAGGAAACAAGCGCUGGAGCAGGGGGGUUUGAAGAUCAUCUAGUUCCCCUCUCUAAGCCAAUGGGUGGGGAAACUGAGGUCUAAGAGGAGGAGGAAUUUACUCAAGGGCACACAGUGAGUAUUGGAGAGUCAGGGAGGGAACCAGAGAGGCCUGAGCCGGGAUGAGGGUGGAGGCUGCAUUUGCUACCGUUGGCCCGAGGAGUGGCUAGGUACAGAGGGCCACAGGAGACCUGCACCCCAUGGGAAGGCAGUUGCUGAUGUUUCUCUCCUGAGUCCAGAGAAAGCCCCUGGCUGCCCUCACCCACUUUUGUUCCCUGAGAGGUGCCUGCCUCCCUACCAUUGGUGUUCCUGGGUUUCCUAAACUUAGUGCUUCAGUAACCCCCUCCCAGGCCCCAGCGCAACAUAGGCUAAGGAAGGAGAAUGAGUUCUGGCCCUGUUUAGGGCGGCACACGGGACUCUAGCAAGAUCAGAGAGGAGCUAGAAUUCUGAGAGGGCUGGGGAUUCUAAAGGUCCCAUUGAGAGUGUCCCCUGAGCACGAAGGGCUUGUGGCUGCAGGCAGCAGGUUCUGGCCCAAGGGCAGCCCUUUCUUGACUGUGUCCCUGGCAAGUCACUCAACUUCUCAGAGGCUGCUAAAUGGCCCAAUCCCACCUCCACGUAAACAAGGUCGGCCACACAGGCUACACAAGAUUCCCAUGAGGCGGCAGACACAGAGCUAUGGACAGGUCCUGGGAGGGGGUCCCAGCCCCAAACCUCUUGUAUCUGCUGUGCCAGGGCUACUGCCAUGAUCACUUGGAGCACCUACGCUCUCCCAGCUGAUCCGGACCUCCCUGAGCUGUCGCUGCGACCCUGAAGACCCCAAGGCCUGGCCGGAAGAGGGUGCUCUUGCCUUUCCCGCACACAGCCCAAGUCCUGGGCGCCAGCAGAGAAAGGGGCCUGCUGCUGGGGGCUGGAGUCAGGAGCUUUGCCUUUAUUGUGGCUGGUUCUCACCACACCCUCAGAGUGUCCUCGCCUGUUAAUCCCACGUUGCAGAGGAGGAAACAGGCUCAGAAAAGUAAAGCGACUUGCCCGUGAUCACCCAGCUUUUUC